AUGUAUCUGAUCACUACUGUAGUAGGGUUGGCAGGUUAGACAGGUGGUAUUUAUCUGAUCACUACUGUAGUAGGGUUGGAAGGUUAGACAGGUUGUGUGUAUCUGAUCACUACUGUAGUAGGGUUGGAAGGUUAGACAGGUGGUAUGUAUCUGAUCUCUACUGUAGUAGGGUUGGAAGGUUAGACAGGUGGUAUGUAUCUGAUCACUACUGUGGUAGGGUUGGAAGGUUAGACAGGGUGUAUGUAUCUGAUCUCUACUGUAGUAGGGUUGGAAGGUUAGACAGGUUGUAUGUAUCUGAUCACUACUGUAGUAGGGUUGGAAGGUUAGACAGGUGGUAUGUAUCUGAUCACUACUGUAGUAGGGUUGGAAGGUUAGACAGGUGGUAUGUAUCUGAUCACUACUGUAGUAGGGUUGGAAGGUUAGACAGGUGGUAUGUAUCUGAUCACUACUGUAGUAGGGUUGGAAGGUUAGACAGGUGGU